CAGCCGCCGCGGUAAUACGUAGGUGGCAAGCGUUGUCCGGAAUUAUUGGGCGUAAAGCGCGCGCAGGCGGUUUCUUAAGUCUGAUGUGAAAGCCCCCGGCUUAACCGGGGAGGGUCAUUGGAAACUGGGAGACUUAGAGUGCAGAAGAGGAGAGUGGAAUUCCAUGUGUAGCGGUGAAAUGCGUAGAUAUAUGGAGGAACACCAGUGGCGAAGGCGACUCUCUGGUCUGUAACUGACGCUGAGGCGCGAAAGCGUGGGGAGCAAACAGGAUUAGAGACCCCAGUAGUCCCUGUCUCUUAUA
rnacentral:rRNA from 1 species